AUUGAACGCUGGCGGCAGGCCUAACACAUGCAAGUCGAACGAGUGGCGGACGGGUGAGUAAUGUCUGGGAAACUGCCCGAUGGAGGGGGAUAACUACUGGAAACGGUAGCUAAUACCGCAUACCAUCGGAUGUGCCCAGAUGGGAUUAGCUAGUAGGUGGGGUAACGGCUCACCUAGGCGACGAUCCCUAGCUGGUCUGAGAGGAUGACCAGCCACAAUGGAACUGAGACACGGUGCAGAGUCCGUCGGUGGGAAGCGGUGGGGAAUAUUGCACAAGAGGCGCAAGCCUGAUGCAGCCAUGCCGCGUGUAUGAAGAAGGCCUUCGGGUUGUAAAGGACUUUCAGCCAUGACGCGGUAGUGGCAGAAGAAGCACCGGCUAACUACGUGCCAGCAGCCGCGGUAAUAC
rnacentral:rRNA from 1 species